CCUCCAGACUCCUACGGGAGGCAGCAGUGGGGAAUAUUGGGCAAUGGGCGAAAGCCUGACCCAGCAAUGCCGCGUGAAUGAAGAAGGUCUUAGGAUUGUAAAAUUCUGUCCUAUGGGAAGAAACAAAUGACGGUACCAUAGGAGGAAGCCCCGGCUAACUACGUGCCAGCAGCCGCGGUAAUACGUAGGCGGCAAGCGUUAUCCGGAAUUACUGGGUGUAAAGGGGGCGCAGACGGCAGUGCAAGUCUGGAGUGAAAGCCCGUGGCUUAACCACGGGACUGCUCUGGAAACUGUGCAGCUAGAGUGCAGGAGAGGCAGGCGGAAUUCCUAGUGUAGCGGUGAAAUGCGUAGAUAUUAGGAGGAACACCGGUGGCGAAGGCGGCCUGCUGGACUGUAACUGACGUUGAGGCUCGAAAGCGUGGGGAGCAAACAGGAUUAGAUACCCUAGUAAGG
rnacentral:rRNA from 1 species